CACAGCUACUUUUCCAGCACUGGAUUGGCAGCGGAAGGGAAGAAGUCAAGCGCCUUUCUUUCCUCGUUUCACUGCACCCUCUCCGUGACAACUAGAGUUCUAGAGGCCGAAAGUCCAAGAUCAAGGUGCCAGCGUGGUUGGCGUCUGGUGAGGGCUGUCAUGCAGGCUUGCGGAUGGCUGCCUUCUCCUGUGUCCUCCUGUGGUAGAGGGUUCACUGAUGUCUCCUCCUCUUCUUGAAUGACAAAGCAAGACUCCAGGACUACGC